rnacentral:rRNA from 1 species
AGGACGAACGCUGGCGGCGUGCCUAACACAUGCAAGUCGAGCGGGGACAUACGACGGAAGCGAAGUUUCGGAUGGAGCGGAAGAUGCAUGUUCUAGCGGCGGACGGGUGAGUAACGCGUGAGCAACCUGUCCCUUACAGGGGGAUAACACAGCGAAAGUUGUACUAAUACCGCAUAAGACCACGGUAGGACAUCCUACAGGGGUCAAAGGAGUAAUCCGGUAAGGGGUGGGCUCGCGUCCGAUUAGAUAGUUGGUGAGGUAACGGCCCACCAAGUCGACGAUCGGUAGCCGACCUGAGAGGGUGAUCGGCCACAUUGGGACUGAGACACGGCCCAAACUCCGUACGGGAGGCAGCAGGUGGGGAAUAUUGGGCAAGUGGGGGGAAACCCCUGACCCAGCAACGCCGCGUUAGGGAAGAAGGUUUUCGGAUCGUAAACCUCUGUCCUUGGUGAAGAGAGAGACGGUAGCCAAGGAGGAAGCCCCGGCUAACUACGUGCCAGCAGCUGC